rnacentral:lncRNA from 1 species
CGGAAGUGGUGAGGGAGUGAUACACCAGAUCAUUUCAACUCAGAACAAACUUAGCAGCUAAGACAGGACAGAGCCCCCCUCCCGGCCUCAGGAGCAGGAGCUAAGCAGAGCCGGUUGGUGAGCCACUACCUCACUGCUCAGCUGCACACUCUCUCACAGGGAGGCCGGAGUCUGUCUUAUCCUCCUGGAGUCCAACAGGACCCAGACGGGAAAUAGAAAUGGCCAGGGAGCAGGAGAGCAGCAGAAAUGAGUGGACCAGGGAAGGGACAGAAAGGACAUAAGAAGCAGAAUGGGCCUUCUAGAAUAAUGCUGUUUAUUCAGGGGAAAGGGAGAAGGGUGGGGAGCAUAGCUCAGGCGAGGGCCUAGGGACAGAACCCAUAUUUCCUGAGACUCUGCAGAGGCUAGCGUGGCCUGCAUGAGGACUGAUGAAGAAAGGUGGAAGGGAGAGCUGCAGAGAUGAUGUAACUAUCAGUAUCUUCAAUUCCAGUCUAAGCUGUUCAGAUGCUAGCUUCUAGGAAGUGCUUUUUUUGUGUGUUUGUUUUUGUGUUUGUUUUUUUUGAGACGGAGUCUUGCUUUGUCACCCAGGCUGGAGUGCAGUGGUGCAAUCUUGGCUCACUGCAUCCUCUGCCUCCUGGGUUCAAGCAAUUCUCCUGCCUCAGCCUCCCAAGUAGCAGGGACUACAGGCACGUGGACCACGCCCAGCUAAUUUUUGUAUUUUUAGUAGAGAUGGGGUUUCACCAUGUUGGCCAGGCUGGUCUCGAACUCCUAACCUUGUGAUCUGCCAGCCUGGGCCUCCCAAAGUGCUGGGAUUACAGGUGUGAGCCACCACAUCCGGCCUGUUUUCUUUUUUUAACUAGAAAAAUGGAAAAUACUAAAUUAAGAAAACACCUUAGAAAGAUUAAUCUAGUAGCAGUUCCCAAAGUGGUGUUAGGAAAGACAGACUUGAGCAGAAAGACCAACAGCCAUUCCACAGUAAUUAGAGUCCACAGGGUAAAGCCCAACAAAAACAGGGAAGGGGUGGGGGUUUACGGUAAGAGAACUUCCAGAGGGAAGAGACUGAGCGAGCAGAACACCAGGACAUCAUCCUGGGGAGAGGAAGGUAGGGGAAGAGGAGGCUUGUAGGGUAGGCUGAACCUCUGCCAAGUGACUGAAAGAGAAGAAGGGAGUUUGGUGCCAGAGAUGUUCAACCGUCCAGCAGAAUCCUGCAGAGAGCAUAAGUGGCUGGGGACAUGGCACAUGGCGUAGGUCUAUGUUAGGAAUUAUGGACAGGGAUGUUACAGUUGGCCCAUGAAGCUGAGUGCUCUGAGGAUGUGAUGGUGAAGUGAAUUAAGCAGGGUGAAUGCCAGGCUUCCAGAGCAUGGGUAACCCAGGAGGAGGAAGAACCAGUGAGGAGGGGAGCCUAGUUCUGUUUUUCUCCUGCAGAAGAGAGGCCACAUUUGCGGAAUACUCAGAAAGUUACCACACCCCACCAUUCAACAGAUCGGAUUCUACUUUGGACAUUUUCUUCAAAGAUGAAAGCAGCCCAGUCAGGAUGAUGACUCCAGACAGCAAGGGCAGACCAAGGGUGGUGCUCUCUCCUCCCCGGCCAGAAUGCAGUGUUCUUGAAACACACAGCUCACGGGGGAUCAACACCAGUUCACCUCUCCUGAACCACCUGGCUUGCCAAGUCUUAGUUUCAGAAAUGUUGAUGUGGAAAUCCUCAUCUUUGGGGCGGUGGUGGUGAUGGAUACCCCUGGGUCCCAGAGAGAGGAUCCUCCUGAGAGCCGGGAGGAAGGCCUGCCUGCCAAGCGCUCUGCAUAUUCCGCCAGCAUAUUCCAUCACAUUGCACAGAGCGAAUUUAUCAUACAAGGAAAGAUAGUCAGGUCUGGGCUUUGGGGUUUUCUGGGUUUUGGAAGUGUUUGUGGGCUUUCAGCUAACAUGGGAAAUUCACUGCAUAGGCUGUGCAUUGUGUUGCGAUCCCUGAUGCCGCCCGUUCCAGGGCUGAUGCUAAUAUGCCUUCCAUGUGCCUUUCACCCACUAGGAGGGCUGGGAAGGGACCAUGCAGUGUGACUUUCUUUUCCUACAAAUGUUAACAAGUGGACCUGAAGCAUCAUUUUUUACUGAUUAGGUUUGCUCACUAAGCACUCACUAGGCUUUUUGGAGCCAGGAGUGGAGUGAGGCUCUACAUUGGCCACUCAGAAAACUCAUGGCACCCACCUCCAGGAGUUGGCAGGCUAGAGGCAAAUUGGCAAUCAAGCCAUCCUUGCAGUGUGGGUAUGGGGGUCACCAAGAAGGAGGUGUGCACAGGCCACUAGGGGUGCCUCAGAGGACACAGCACAGGGCUCCAAAGCAUGCUGAGUGGAGGGAAAACAAAGGAGCAGUGUGAGGAGGAUGCAAAGCCCAGCAAGGAAGAGCCUUGCUUCCAAAUCUUGGGGAUUUGAACUUGACCCUGAAGGAGAGUGACAUGGUCAAGUUGCAGCAGGGAGGAGGACUGACUGUAGAGGGCAGGGACAGGGAACUACCAGAGCCAGGGCAGCCAGGGCUGCACCCAGCUUAGUCCAGGACUGCAGAGGAUGAAGGGGGGCACCAGUGUUUCUGCCUCUUAGGGAAGAACAAGCUUAAUUUUCUCACUAGCAUCGCAGGUCCCAGGGCCUCAGAGAACGUGGUUCUCUGCUACCUGAGCUGUGUACACUUACAUUUUAGUCCUGGAGGAAAUAAUUCAUAGGCUGAAACAAUGUGUUUCAAAAGUCUGUAUGUGUUCAAACUCAGGACCAUCUAUAGACAGGGGUUAUUUACCUCCUUAAUGGUGCCCAAGAGGAGCAAAAUGUUUGAUGUAGAAUGCUCUGAUUAUAUUUACUGUCCACAUUGUCAGUAACAUGUCAAAAAAUAAUUAGCAAGGAAAGAUCUCUUUUACUUCACGUGAGAGAAAAAUUCCACCCUGCUAUUUUAAUACACAGCCUUCAUCAUUUUAAAUUGAGAAGAGCAUUUUCAAAGGGAUUCAAGGUUAUGUUCCAUUUUGACCCAUGCAUAUGCCGUAGAAUAAGUCAACUGACUUAAAUGAUGGCUUCAUGUUUGGAUUGCCUUUGACAAGUAAACAUUAAACACUCUCUGCUCUGCCAGGGAGUUUGAGUUGUGCAGAAUAGCAAGUACCAAAAAAUGUAAGAUAUGAGAUGUGACACGGCUAAUUCCUCUCCCGCCACAGAGCAUAAUUCCAGCAAGAGAGAAAACAGGAUAGAAUCACAAGCUGGAAAUGAGAGAUCAUCUCAUCUAACUUUCUGCAUUUUCCAGAGAAGACAGCUGGGGCUUAGGACAUGGAAAAGACCUCUCUAGAGCUGCCCAGUUAGGGCAGAAUUAGGGCUGGUCCCAGGUCACCACGCUCCCUGGCCACCACUCCUCCUGCGACAUCACCCGCUGUCUGUGUGAAUCGCUUCACUCCUUGACUUGUUGAACCAGGGGAGCACAGAGCCAGUUCAGCAGAUGGAUGUGACUUCUGGGAGGAGGACCAGAGGGACUGGCAACUAUUAAAGACAUAAUUCAUCACAUUAAAGAUCACAUGCUCACAAGCUGUGUCCACGCUCAGGACUGACCCUCAGCAAAUUGUCCAGGGUGAUCUGAGAUGAAUACUUUCUGAAGGUUUUCCCAGGAAGCAUGACUAGAAAGGGAGUCUGGAACAGUCCCACGAUGCAACUCCAAAGGAAGGAGGAGAAAGAGAAAACAGAAGCAGAGCACGUGAGGCCGUAGAAAUUCGGCUGCACACCGCAAGACCCCCGUGCCUUCACUGAAAGGCUUCCCAAAGGGAUUCUGAAAUAGGAAUCCUUUUCUUUCAUACUGUGUGCUUCUUCCUCUCUAUCUUGCAGAAAUUCUCAGUUGUCCACACACUAGCACACUGGAUUUUGUAGUAGAAGAAAACAGAUUGUAGCUUUAUAGACACAUAUGGAAACAGGCACAAGGCGUACCUAACUCCAAAAACAAUCAAACUUCAGGCCAAACUGAAAAAGUUAUCGUUGCUGACUUCCAGAGCCCAAGGGUGGUGACCUUUCCGUUAGGUGAACCACUGCCGCCGGCAAGCCAAUUUCUUUGGCGUCUUCAGCUUGAAUCUGAAUUUCUAAGAGGACUUGUGGGAGUUAAAGCAUGUUCUUUUCAAAUGUUUCUAAAGCUCUAGAUAAACAGGAGGUUGACGUUGAACUUGUCCUUUUCUUCUUUCCAAUUUAUGGUCAACAUUUCCAUUAGCCACAAUUCUCACUUAACCCCAUGCCAUCCUGGCCCCCAGGCUCUCAACCUUCCCUUUCUACUGCAGGACGAACCUGCUGUCCUCACUGCUUUCCUGUGGGAGCUCGGGUUGUAAUCCUGGUGUGCUGUGCUGUGGGCGGGGCAGAAAGGCUGAACUCAGAGUGAUGCCUGGAGCCCUGCAUCUGUUUAUUGAGGAGUUGACAUCUUAGCUUCAUGGAAACAAAAGUGAUUGCCUUCUAUUUACUGUAGUGAAGAUCCCAACAGAGGAAUCAUCUCCUGAUACCAUCAACAAGCAUUCUACUAGUAUCUAAAAAGGAAAAUAUGCAGGCGUGUCCACAUCUGCUUAUCUGACUUAUGAAUACUGUGGAGUAUUUUUCUCUUUGAGAAAGAGAAUCAAAAACACAAGUUAAAAAAUUAGUAGUCCACUGAAGGAAUGUCCACUCAGCUCUCCAUCUCAGGUUUUCUCUCACGUGUAGAGAGAGAAAUGACUUAAGAAGCAAAAUCAUACGCUGGUCCAAAAGAACUCCAUGUGAUGAAGAUUGAGAACUUGCACAAUAUGACAUUACCCCUGUUUCUGGCCAUUUGAGAAUGGGCCCCACAACAGCCUAUGGCACCACACAGAUGUGCUCACUGAGUGAAAAAACAUAACAUGGUAAGGGUAUAAGUUAAGCACUUCAAUGUUAAAGAUUCCUGCUACUUUAUGACCAACCUUCCUUUCAAAUUGACUAAAUGAACCCCAAUACCUGAAGUGGCUGAUUCUGGUUCUCCAGAUGAUUUCUCCUCAGUGUGUGAGGUCCUUGACAUCUGUGUUCACACUAUUUAAAGAAAGGUCCCUGGUUCCCUUGAGAGAUUAGGGGAGCAAGUCACAUUGGCUGCACUGAAGGGGACCUCAUCAAAGUCUAAAGAAGAGCCUGGGGGGGGGCGCUCAGCAGAGCCAUGCAGCAUGUCCAGGAAGUAGCUGAAGAGACGCAAUAGGAGAGUCCGUGCACAGGAAGCUCCCAGAAUAGCACAUCCCACGAGUGAGGCCAGUUCACCAAAGGGAAAAGGAGCCAGAGGCUCAGAAACUGUGGAGACAGGGCACAGGCUGCGCAGCACAGCGUGAAAUAGUUGAGGAUGGGGAGCUUCAAACAGGGGCCACCAAGGCUAGGAGAGGGCCAGGUCCCAUUCCUAUCUGGUGGCAAAACUAGGGUGAGUCACCUACCCCGAUGGAGCAGCCAGCCCUACAUGAUGGAGAACGCGGAGCCUUGGACAAACGUGCCACAUGAAUAGACAGUGACAGGCGGGUCCCAUGUGGAAGUCAUUCUCUGUCGGGGGUUUCCAUAUUUACACACCCAAGAUGAAGAGUUUGCCUUACACAAAAGAGCACAGCCACGUUGACUGACUCCUGUAGACGUGUGGCUGUGUCUCUGAGGUGGUUUAGAAAACUGCCUGAGUACCCUCUGGCCCGGAAUGUAUAGAUAGAGGAUGAGGCCCAGAAAAAGAUGUUCUUAGCUGUUUGAUCUUUUUUUUUUUUUUUUUUUUUUUUUUUUAAUAAUCAAGCAACUACAAAUCAUUUUGCCAGGACUUUGCCUACAAAGCAGGGACUGAGGAAGCAGGCGCUUUCUCAUUCACCUCUUUAAGGAGGCUGAGAUACACAAGAGGAUUCUUCCUUACAGGUUGGAACUGGCUCGGGGAGAUGGCGUCGUGUGCACUCUGUGGGGUUCCCAGGAACGGGGCCAGAGCAACCACCCAGAUCCAUCAGCCCGGCUCCUCCUAGAGCAUGUCCUCAUCCACCAGCUUUCUGGCCCCGAACUCGGUAUGAAUCAUAGAAAGGCAGCAGUUCUUUUACCUCUGAGAGUUCAUCUUGAUGAACUAAAGACCAGCCAGUGAACUGGGGAGAUCCAGAGGGGUCCCUGACUCAGCGUCUAUCUCAGGCCACUGAGGGCCCGUUCUCUCCCCUCUCGCCUUGCAAAACGUUUUAAAUAUACCUGUACAUAGAGUUGAAGGAGGCCGAGGGUCGGGGAAGUGGCUGGGGUAAAUGAUGUCGAAGGUGGGGUGGGUCUGGAAACAGGGGCUCUUGGUGGAGAAAGGGACAUCUGGCCCGUGGCGCGGCUGGGAGAGGCCCCUUUGUCCUCCACUGGGGGCUUUCCCACUUUCAAACAUCACUGACUUUCAUUUGGAUUUGGUUUUGGUUUUUCAUCCUUCGCACCUGCGCCUUCUUCCGCCUCCCUCCGGGGCCCUGGGAGAGAAGUGACGCCCCGGAUCUGCCAGCCCGCAGGUGCAGGCGGGGACCCUGAGGAAAGCGGCCGUUCCUUCCGGCGUCCCUCGGAGCCGCUGCCUCCAGGGUAGGCUUCGUCCAGGGCGCACAGUGGGUGCCCUGCGACCCGAGGCCUCUCCAACUUCGCGAGGAAGAACCGCGCGUCCCACGCCCCGCCGCCCCUCCGCGCGCCCCACGUCCCUCCAUGCUCCCCUCCAUGCGCCCCUCUGCUCGACCCCAGGCCCCGCUGCCCCUCCGUACGCCCCAUGUCCCUCCAUGCUCCUCUCCGUGCGCCCCUGUGCUCGCCCCACGCCCAGAUGCCCCUCCGUGCGCCCCUAUGCUCGCUCCAGGCCCCGCCGUCCCUCCGUGCGCCCCCACGUCUCUCCAUGCUCCCCACGUCCCUCCAUGCUCCCCUCCGUGCGCCCCUCUGCUUGCCCCACGCCCCACUCCCCUCCGCGCGCUGGCGCGUGACUCCACGCUGGGAGCUUCGGAGCUGCAGCUGUCGCCGCCCACGCCUGUCAGUCUCCGCCCGCGGCCCGGCCCCGGGGCCGUCGCCCAGUCCCCCGCCGCCGCUCCCCGACCCCGCGCUCACCCCUCACCCGGACACCCUCCCACCUGCAGCCGAGCCGGUGCCUCUGCUCUUCCCCUUCGCGACCACGCGCUCUGAUCCCACCAGCCCCGCCUGCAGGCCAAGGCCCCCGGGUUUCCAGGGCCCCAGGUUUCCAAACUCCGGCGCUCCUUGGCUGCUCGGAGGAAACUAACCUGCAGCCACUUCACCACGACCUCUUCUUCCUGGCCUCGUUUCUGUGGUUCGCGCCAAACAUUUGAUUCACCUUCUAAUUGGUCUCUCUCCCCACCGCACAAUACAAGGACGUGAACAUUCUUGUUUUCUCAGCCAGCAUAGGGCCAAAAACAAAACAAAACAAAACAAACGAAGCAAACGAAUGCUCGAAAGUGGAAAAAUUAUAAUAUCGCAAUGGAAUUUGAAGCACAUUCCUGUAGCAGCUGUCAACAUUUUAACGUGGAUUUGGAAGAAAAUACUACAAUUUGAGGAUCUUUGAAUAUAAGAUGAGUCAUUGUUUUGAUAAAAUUUUUUCCUUGAAUCUUCCCUAUCAAUCUGCCCAUCAGCCCACCCCCCAAAUACACCUAUUUCCAUGAUGUCUUAGUAUUUAACUUUUUAAACCGAUGUGUUGUUCACUUAUAAAGUGAAAUUAAAUUGACUAGAUCUUGGUUAAGGACGGGUUCCUUCCCGUCUUUCAUUCAUCAGUUCCUUCUUCAAAAGCAUCCACCUUGCAAUUUGUGCUGUCAAAAACGGUGGCUCGCUCAUUAAGAAAAAUAGAGGCCACCAGACUGGUUCCAUGGCAGGCAGAUUCAGAUGCCCUGAGAAGGCCCAGAUGAGCUGGGGUUGGGGAGAUGGGGAGGGAGGCAGAUGAUGAGACCAACUUAAAGCACACCUUGUCCCUCCUACACCAAGUAGUUUCCAGGUAGGAAGAUGGAAGAUUCUGUGAGUUCUCUAACUGUGCCUGCAUGUAUGGAAAAGUAUACAAGGAGGGUUGGGUACACAUCUCCUCCACAGACAUCUUGUGAAUGAAACAUGGCAAAGUGUAUGGCCAAAGAAGACUUUAUGUGAUUGUCCUAAAUACCAUAUUUAUUUUUAGCAAUUCACUAUAGGAACUGUCUCAGAGACAUCACUCGUUCACCCAGUCACUCAGACUUACUAAAUUCCCACCUUGUUCCAGGCUAGGUUACAAGCUGGGCACAGAAAGAUGAACAGGACUCAUUCCUACCUGCAAGGAGCCUAUCAUUUAAUACUGGGAUGUAGACAUGAACAUGGUUUGCAUUUGUCUCUUAAGUUUUUUCUUUCCCACCAGUGCCCUCCUGUAUUUAGUUGUGGAUGCAUUUUAAGUACAGGCUCCUUGGGGACAUGGAGACACAAAAGUGUAGCUAAAUAUGUAAGCUAGGAGCUCAGGGGAAAGUUCUGGGCCAGAAAUAUACAUUUAAGGGUCCUCGACACAGAUGAACAAGUUGAAAACAUGAGAGGAAUGGAAACCACUCAGGGAGCAUAUCUAGAAUGAAAGGAGCAAGGAUGUAAUUCCAGAGAAUUUGUGUCCAAAUGGUGAAUUUGGGAAGGGUACAAGUUUAUAUUCAGAGAUGACUUAUCUGGUAAGACCAGAGGCACAAUAAAAAUUAUGCCCCUUGGUGUUACCAAGCAUUCGUUUCAAAGGAUGGAAUUGUCAAGUUCAAUCAUUUCUUCCAUCUAUGACUCAAGCAAGAUUUAAUUAUCGGCAAUGUAUCAAUAUUAUGUCAGACACCACGGUAUCUGCAUCAUAAAACAAAGCCCUGACAUCUGGGAACUCGUAAUUUAUUUGCCAAAAUAAAUCUAACCGGAAACAACUGAAAAAGUGUACAAGUUGCUGUAUGUGGUACGUGAUCACUAACAGUGCUACAGCAAGGCACUUAAGAGGGACCUAAGUGAAAACCAUGCGAUCAGGAAUGAAUUUAUGAAGAAAUUGAGGCAAAUAGGUCCAGUUGGUAGAAUUUGGAUAGGGAGAGGGGAUUCAAGGUACAACAUAUCGAACCAUGCUUUUGACUGAAAGUAAGGAGACAGAGGUAGAUAUCAAAGACAUCCACCUUGCAGACCCCAUAUGUGUGGAACGGACCAGGUUGUCCAGGAAGCUGAUAAAGUCUGAGCUUUAGGGCUGCACAUUUACCUUCAUAAUUUGGUAACAUUUUUCUUCAGGAGGGCCCCCGUGGUUGCAUAAGCUUCAGGCCGCACGCAGCCUGGCUCUGCUCCACCACUUUGCGGUAGCUCUUCCCAAGGCAAAUUGUAGUUCCUGUGUUUCCUUGCUUGCAUCUCCCUGGAGGCAGAGGGUUUCACUUCAUCAUCUUCAUAGCCACAUGAAGACAUGGUAUGGGAGUUCAGCUAGUGGUUAUUUCAGUCCAGUGACUACAGAGGUGUGACAAACUUGGGAAGUGUUGAAGAAUGCCAGGGGAUAUUCGUGCAGCCUUGGGUUGGAAUCAGGUCUGAUGGAUGAAGCAUGGGAGGGCCAUUCCCAGCUGCUGAGUGUAGAGCAGAAGUCAUGUGGGAAGAAAGUGAACCUCACUGGAGUGUGCAAAUGGAUAAAAGGAAGAGAGACCAAAGGCAGGGAACUGGCUGGAUGGCUGUUUAUCAAAGCCAGGGAGAGAGGAGAAGACACUCAACCCAAGCCUCAUCAUCCUGUAGCCCUUGUCACUGUUUGUGACUUUUGGACUCAGGUCACACAAAUCUUUCUGCUCAGUUAUGGGUGGCUAUGAAAAUCAGCUGCAUCCAUCUGUCCUCACUUUAUGACAGAAGUUCCAGGCCUUUACAUUUUUCCUCUUAAAAACACGUGGCUGCCUGUUGUCUGUGUGCCCAUCUCCAUUGCUGGUCCCUGAGCAUCCACCUUUGGCAUAUAAUGGGUCUCCUGUGGGAGCAGUGGUCUUAUUUCAUGCAGUCAUUGGUAGGCUGCUGGAACCAACAACCUCUUUCUCUCCUGCACCACUCUCUCAAUCCUGAUAGGCUUUCAUUUUGAUGUUUAAUAAGGAAAACAUGAAAAGCUCAAAGCCUCAAUCUUAGAACCAAUUGUCCAUAUAGCUCUACAGAAAAACAUAUACUGAGAAUUAACUAGAAACAUGGUGUUGAUUUAGCUUGAAAAGGGUUUAAAUGUGGUGUUGCUUGGAUCUUUGACUUGAGACAAUUAACAUGUCCUAAUAAUUCAGCAAGUCCGUUAUGGCAAGAUAAAAUGUUGAUCUGUGGAUAAUUUUUUUUUCUUGACACACAGUCUCAUGCUGUCACCCAGGCUGGAGUGCAGUGGCACAAUCUUGGCUCACCACAACCUCUGCCUCCUGAGUUCAAAUGAUUCUCAUGCCUCAGCCUCCCAAGUAGCUGGAAUUACAGGCAUGUACCACCAUGCCUUGCUAAUUUUUGUGUUUUUAGCAGAGAUGGGGUUUAGCCAUGUUGGGCAGGCUGGUCUCAAACUCCUGUCCUCAAAUGAUCCACCUGCCUCAGCCUCCCAAAGUGUUGGGUUUACAGGCGUGAGCCACCACACCUGGCCUGAUCUGUGAAUUCUUAAGCCAAGGCAAAGUGAACUAGUGCAUGGGAAGAGAGGGUGAUGCCUUUGCAAUGCUGUUCAUGACAAUGAUGUGGAUGUAGAUGGGUCUCUAUUAUGGACACUGACAUGGACAAGUUCGCUGCAGAUGGAAACAUCUGGUUACAGGAUUUCAGAGAACAAUUCAGGAAGCACUGAUGAUCCCAAGUAGUUUAUAAGAUCUAAGCAGACCAGCUGACUACUAAGAAUGAACGCCUUCAUAAUCAGCCUUUUAUCUGGGGUGGGACCUCUAGCUCCAGGCCAGGAGCCAGGUGAUGGAGAUCCUAGUCCAAGCUCUGUUUCGAGAGGAAUUUCAACUCUCAGAGUGCAGUGGCCUCCUUAUUACCGUAAGAGCAAUAGUGUCUCCUCCGUGCCCUCUCUGGCUGGACGCUGCCCUCUAAAUGGAUUUUAAAUGGUAAUACAGUCUUCAGACGUGGAGAAUCAUUAUUACUAACCAUUUCCAUGCUCUAGCGGCACCAAAUGGGCUCUGCGUUGUAGUCGUACCUUGCCCAUCGAUUGAUGGUUUGUCCAUGGACGAGGUGCUUCACUUCGCUGAAUUAUGUUAUGCUAGACACCAUGUGUCCAGAUCAUAAAUCACAACCGUAAAGUCGGGGGGUGGGACUUUGGGUUUCCAUGGGCCCUCAGGCUCUGUAGGUCUAUCAUCACUGUAACCAGAUUCUGGAAAGGCUCAGCCUCACUGACCACACUGGAUGGCAUUUCCUGUGGCACUCGGCCUGAUGUACUGGGGCCAGAGGGACGCUCACACCUCUGCAAAGCUGGCCGCAGUUCCAGCCGAUGCUCCCUGACCCUCCAGCUGCCCUUCCUGUCUGUGUGCACAUCUCACAUGGAGGCCUUUCCAACACAGUAUAAAAAUUCCCAAUUUCCUUACACCUUUACAGGCAGACAGUCCCAGGGUCCUGAGACAUAAAAUGCCCCUUUAGUAGAACGAGCCUUUCUCAGCCCCCAACAAUCAUCAUGAAAAGAACACCUAAGCUCUCUUUUUUCCUGCUGUUGUUCAGGGCUCAGCAGAAUGACACCUCCUUGCUUGGGGAAUUGCAUGAGUAUCUUCGCUUUUAGAAAAUGUUCCUUAACCUAGUUUUAUGAAACUGUAAAUCCUCUGCUCUGAGAACUUCAGCUCAGAAAGAAGGUGCCACGGGUCUCACUGUCAAACAAGGAGAGACUGAAAUGUACUUCUGGGGAAAUGUAAAAUUCCAGGGCUUCCACUAUUUAUCUUUAAUAUGUGCUCAUAAGAAAGAAAACAGGAAUUGCCUGACAGACGUCCCAGGGGAGCUGCAGGCCCACACUAUCCAGAUGACCUGGCUAACUGCAGAAAGCGUGGGCCAAGCAGAGCAGUAGGAAAAGCAUGCUGAUUUUAGGGUUUCACACACAAAGAAUUUCAGUGUUGUAUGUUCCCCAGAGUUACGAUGGUCCACUUGGUAAGAAUGAUAAUAUCUGCAAAAGAGGGAGGAAGGUGAUCAGGCCCAGGAGAGUUUACUGAACUUAUUUGUUAUAAGUCUAAAAAAUUUCUGAAGACGGUUAAAGUUUAAGUAGACAGUGUCUACUUAAGAAGACGAUUGGAAACUGUGAAAAUCUGGUGUGAUACUGUGCACAUAGAAGCUUGAUGCAUAUUCAUUAAAUGGCUGAACUAAUUCACAGUGGAUGAAACAGUGCCUUAUGGCCCGAGAUACAAUCGAAUCCAUACAGUAGACAAUCCAAAACAGAAAAUGCAUUUGCAAGCUCUUCUAGGGAAAAUCCCUCCAUAGUGAAAGAACUUUAUUGUUACUUGCUUUUUAGGUGAGGGGCAAAUAAUAAGAUGAAGUAAGCUGUUACCAAGAAGCAGGACAAAAAAAAAUGCCCUUCAAAAUUGAUUUUAAAAAUUGUAAAAAAGAAAAAUGACCUCCAAUCUCUGCUCCUCUAGCAAAGGAAGAGGUAAAAACCAGUGGGGUACAUAGACCUGCCCUCUUCCUCCAUCUGUUUUUCUCAUUCGCUGGUUUUUCUUUCACUGGUUUUCAUUCACUCCGGAAGCCAGAUUUGAGCUCCACAUCAGGGGUGGGCUUUGCUGGCCACCAUGGGAAUCCCAGCUUUGGAGUGUUGUUGCUGUUGCUGCUUAGCCAGAAUUUAAAUUGCAGUGGCUGAUGUUUCCAUGGAGCCUGUUGUCUUCAAUUUUUAUCAUUAAUAAUCGCAUCUUCAUUUGUAUUAAAUACCUCUUAGUAUUUGAUUGGGGCCGGGUGCAGUGACUCACGCCUAUAAUCCCAGCACUUUGGGAGGCCAAAGCAGGCGGAUCACUUGAGGUCAGGAGUUCCAGACCAGCCUGGCCAACAUGGUGAAACCCCAUUUCUACAAAAAACACCAAAAUUAGCCUGGCGUGGUGGCACGUGCUUGUAAUCCCAGCUACUCAGGAAGCUGAGGCACGAGAAUCGCCUGAACCUGGGAUGUUGCAGUGAGCCGAGAUCAUGCCACUGCACUCCAGUCUGGGUAACAGAGUGAGACUCUGUCUAAAUGUGUGUGUGUGUGUGUGUGAUUGGUUUAAAUUUAACCUCGAUGAUUAAUAUCAUUAAAACAUUAUCUUUUCAUGUGAAGAUUUCCAGAUUUUUCUAUUAAAUAUGAGGCAGUUUCCCUCUUGGUGGGACAUUCAAGAUUCUUCUCUCCCCAACCAUACUCCUGCCUUUAGGUACCGUUUUCGGAGUUAAAUGCUAUUUUAAAACUUUGGACAAUGGUUGCAGGUUCUGUGGACAUAAAAACAUUUGAAUUCUGUCUUUCUGUGAGGUCUGGGAUGAGCACAGUGGCCACAUACUGACAGAAGGACAGAAUGACUUAGCACCGGGACCCAGUGGGUCUUGCAACAGGAGCACAGCAAACCUUCAGAAGGCCCUGCUGAGUUCCUAUCCUUUCUCCCCGUAAUGCCUCUGUUACACUUUUCAUCUCAAUUUUCUCUCAGAAGGGCCCAAUUUUACAAAAUUUACCUGUAUUCAUUUCUCAUUAAAGCAAACAGGCAGAAUACAAUUAGGAACUUUCGUAUGUAUUUACAAUUGGUCUUGAUGGUGAUAUUAUUUUUGAGAAAUGUGGUGUUAGUAAGAUCUUAAGCAUUAAAAGCUAAUAUGAUUUGCCAACCAAGUAUCCUGAUUUAUUAAAUAUAUUCAAGUAUGUUUUAAAGAGUAGCGCACUGCAGCCCUUCAAUAAACAUUUCUUCAAUUGAAUGAAAACAAAGGGCAAAAUUACUAACUUUAUAAACCUUUAACUUAGAAAGUGACCUGAAUUAGCCAACUCUGUUGUUCUAUCUAAUCUGCUAUAUUCUCAGAAUAAUUAUGUUCUAUCAAAGUAGAGAAAACAAAACAACAAAAAAACUCAUAAUGAAUGAAUCUAGCCAUGGUCCUUUUAGUACAUUUCUGUUCUCUGCUUAGAAACAAGAGACAUUUGCUGUGUAUGUGUAAGGUUUGCCUUCUGUCAUUUCAAGACAAAGAUUAGGAAUAUAUUAUAAAUAUAACUACUUUCAUUUUAAAACUGAUUAUAAUGCUUUCAUCAUUUCCUAAAUUUUCAGGCUAUAGUAUACCUAAACUUAUGACCAUAUUAA